UUCGGGACCCCCCAGAAGUGUUCCCGGACCCCCAAAGUGCUCCCAACCCCACAGAUGCCCGGUACAGCCACUUCUGGGAAUUCAUCUCCUCUCAUCCCCCGCGGCCCCAGACCCCUCAUAACACGGUCCGGCGCCGAAAACUCCUGCUGUGCCCCACGCCCUAAAGAGCCUGGGUAGAGCUCCCUGAGAUCCCCGCAAGUUCUCUCGAACCGUUUACGUUACCACGAGGAUCUCAAGUCGCGGCUCGGACGCAAAAGUGUCCCCCAAGUGCCUUCCCAGACCCCUAAACAAAGCGUUCGAACCACUUCCGGGACUACGGCUCCCAUCAUGCUCCGCGGCGCACGUCCAGAGCUUUUCCAGCCAGGACUUCAUCUCCCAUCAUGCCCCGCGCCCCACCGAGAGCCAUUGCAGCUGCGCUUUGAACUCCCGUGAUGCUCCCCGGCCCCGUUAAACUGUAUUAGACCCGCGCCUACAACUCCCAUCACCCCCCGCGCCCCAGAGAGCCCAAUCAGAGCCCCCAAGGGCCCACCUGGACCCCGCAGGGCCCCAAAUUCUCCGUGACUUCCAAGGGCCCCCCUGGGCCCCCAAGUGCUGUCCCGGACCCCGAACUGUUCCUCAGAAUCCCUGAGUGCCCCUCCAAGUGCCCACCCGGCUCCCCCAAGUGUCCUCCAGACCCUCAAGUUCUCUCUGAAUUCCCUCCCCAGACCCAGAACUGCCCCAAAUGUGCCCCAGAAAGUUCUCCCUGGACCCCAAAGUGGUCCCUUUUACCCUGUCUGUGAAAAUGAUAAAAAAGAUGACAAAAAGAUUUAAAAUAGGACUAAUUAGCGUAAAGAAGGAGAAAUCAACAGCCACACUGGUCAAUGAAUUAAUGAAGGGAAUUGUGUUCCUUAGAACCAAUGACCAAUAAAUUUUUUGCUUGCUAAAAAGCAGAGAAAAACAGCUUGAGAAAGGAAGAUGAACAUCACCUCAAGGAUUUAUGGUUUUGACCAAGGGAAGCUGGACAUCACUGUUAUGAGAUUUAUAGUCUCUGCAAUUAAAAGGUGGACCCACAUCUGGGGAGCUGGACUCCACCAGAUGGGAUUCGUCUUUCUUCUUUUGGAAACUGGACCGCCACCAUCUGGGAUCCUCCUUUUGAGAUACAUCCUGAGAGAAACUAAAAUCACAAUAGUGUAUAGAAUUGUGAUGUAAUAAUUUGGAAUAAAAAUUGCUGAUGAGUAAAAAUUGGAAAUAGAAACUGCUGAAAAAAACUGAUGAGUACCCCUAUAAAUACCUGUAACCCUCAAGUAUCGGUGUGCAGUUGGAGGGAACACUUCCCCCACUGUACCCAGCGCUGUAUUGCUCAUACUUUACCAGAUUAAAUAAUAAAUUGAUUGCUGCUUGAA